AUUAGAGCACUAUUUAGAGUUAAUUAGAUUAUUCUGAAAGCAUUUCAGAAAUGAGAUUUAUUGUCCGAAAAGAAACAACAUGAAAGUUCAUCUUACAAAGGAACGGCAGUGAUACUCGCAAUAAAAUCCCAUCGCGCGCUCUUCAUCUUUCUUUCUGUCUGUUUCUCUCUCUCUCUCUCACACACACACACACACACACACACACACACACACACACACACACUGAGUGCGUCUCUUAUCUUUAGUAUAAAUGCAUGUGAAAUGAAUACGGCUCUUGAAAAUGGAAGCUGCUUCACUUCAGUAAAUGUGUCUUCAGAGAUGAAUGACAGUCUUAUUUGAUGCCUCUUCGGAGGAGUAAAAACUUCUCAUUUAAGUCUUUAAUGUAGAAAAAAUGAAUGCAACAUUCUUUUUCUACGUUUUCUUUUUUCCUGUGCAGUUCAUGCUAAAUAAUAUCAGAUGUUUCUUCAUGAUGUUAUUCAUAUUUGCAGGUGUUUGUACCUGAAGUGUGCACAUAUUUUUGCUCACAAGGUAACACUUUAGUUUAGGGACCAAUUCUCACUUGCUUAUUAGCAUGCCUAUUAUUAACAUAUUGUCUGUUUAUUAGUACUUAUAAAGCACAUAUUAAGCAUGACAUUAUUCUACACCCCUAAUCCUUCCCUGUGUAAAUUCUCCUGUACUGUGUAAAAUGUGAGAGUGUGUAAAGUCUGAUCUUGUGGUUAAACAGUCCCUGCAGAGACGUCGUCUUCACCUCUCAAUCCAUUAACGGCAGCAGUUUCACCUGAAACACAGCGUUUCUCCAUCUGAGUCCCGCUGCCCUCCUGGAGUUUAUUCAAUAAUACAUGAGGAGUCAUGAAUUAUUCCUCCUGCUGGAUUACAGUUGCAUAUGAGUUCCUCAUCACAUCUGUGUCCACCCACUAAAGAACGAAGGGAAAAGGCUUCAUCUUCAUCUCUCUCAGUGUUGGUGUCGCUGGUGUGUGACGGGCCCCGUUCGUCUCAUCCAGAGCCACUUCUCAUUUCUACACUUCUGUUUUUUUCAUUUGAAUUCUCACCGGCCACAAACCCAGAGGAGCCGGAGAAGUGCUCGCUGCCACCAAGAGAGGCUGUUUUACAUUAAAAAUGCUUUUGAGCUGAGGUAACAUCAUGCUUUAAUAAUGUACAACACCAGGCAGCAUGGAGCAAAAUACAUUUUUAAUUACUAAAGUGACUAAUAUCUGAGGUUCUGCUUUGAGGUUUUGGUUUCAUUAAAUAUUCAUGUGUUUUUUUUUUUCUUUCUUGGCAUUCAUGCAUCUGAGCCCCACACCUGGAGUUCAGCGCUGCACUUUCUGCCAGAGGACGGCACAUUUACACACGUACUGAACACACAACACACCUCUCAGGAUCCGCGGCGUGUCACACAAGACCUGCUCCAGGAUCUCAGCUGUCAUUCGCUCCCAAAUCUGCUCGCAAUCCCCUGAAACAAGAAACCAGCUAAACACAUGACAGUGACACAAUAUCGCGCUCUUCCUCAGGAUAUGAUGUUGAUGCUCAUCAAAGUGCCAUUUCAGCUUAAAAUAUGAAUGCGUCUCACGUGAACGUCUGAAAGCGUUUGUGUUCUGAUGGUUUUAUUACUGUAAUGACCUGAUCAAUAUCAGUCCUUUUGUUAUUUUGUUUAUUUCUGAAAUAUGUGGGUUAUUGUAUUUUGUUUGAUAAAGUGUUUAAUGCAUAUGCAAGAAGAUUUAUCAUUUAAUUAUUUCUAUGCUGUUCAGAUGUGCCUGGUAAUUUAACAGUUGAGUUGUGUUUUCUUUAAAAUGUUUUAAGGAUGGUUCAUUACAUAAGAGAAGCUCACUAAUCAAUAUGUUAAUGUUAGAGAUUUAGUGAUUAAUAAAGUAUCCUGUUGAACUACGUGAAAUCCCGUGAGAGAGGAGAACGGAAACGGGAAGCGGGAGAAAAAAAAACGAAAAACUGAGCACGAGAGUGAGCACGAGGGCUAGUCUGCUAUUAACACAGAGUUUGUGGGCUUAACGCUUUAAGUUGGACUAUAAUUUGUUUCAUCAGAAACCGCGCUCUCUGCGUAGGUGUUUGUGACUGAGGGAAAGUGAAAUACCGCCGGAGGUGUGUGUUUUUGGACUGUGACGUGAGCUUAGGCCUGUUAGCCUCUCUGGCUAAAUUAGCUCGUGGUUUUGCAGUAACGUUACUGUCAUACGGUCGCGGGAGUGACCGCAUACACUUUGUUUGCCUGGUGGACGAGAGAAGACAACAUCGAGAAGAGAGUCGCAGGCUGACGCAGAUGUUUUCUUCAUUGGGGACCGUUUGGCUGUCGAUGCGGGACGGAUGACGCUGAUUAACCCUCGCUGUGCCGCUUGCAAACGGAGUUCGUCUGACGAGAAAGAGAGUUACAAUCGCGGUAGGAUCCGGGUUUUUCACUCUACACCAGGAGGUAUUGUUGCUUUCUUCAUUUUAUGAGCUCCAACAUUAAGCGCGCCAACGAACUAACUUAAUGCAGGCCUGCUAAAAGAACUGAAAAAUAAGAGUGCACUCAGGUUAUCACAGACUAUUGACUUCAUUACCCAGGUUUUUUUCCCCUCUAAAUUGGGUUUUAUUUUCAUAUUUGCUCUUUGCUGUUCAAUUGUUAUGUGAGUUUGUAUAAUACAAAAGGAGGAAAUUGAGCUAUGGCGUUCUUGUUGUUUAUUCUUUCACCAGCCAUUGUAUUUGUGUAGCUCAGUGUUUUCUGUGGUAAUAUUCUAUAUUUUAAAACCAAGAAUAUUCUUUCAGGUACCCAUUGAUAAGCAAAGAGAUAGUGAGAAUCAUAGUGUUCUUAGACAGGGUCAUUAUACAAUGGAAUGUCUCUUUCACCAUUUUACCAAGCAUUAGGGUUAAGAGGGUUCAAUACUUUAUACGCUGCUGUAUAACGUACUUGCCUCAUCACGAGCCUAUGGUGGAAAGGGUUACAUUUUUGGGGGCUCGUCCGGGAUAUUAGUAGAUUUGUAAUAUUCCUCAGUUCUCACUU
ensembl:lncRNA